rnacentral:lncRNA from 10 species
AAACAAACAGGAAUUUAUUUUUCUCACGUGAGAAAUCUAAGGUGCUGUUCAAUGGCUGAGGCAUGCCCGGCUGAAACUGCUGUCAGUCUCUUUCCUCAUGGUCACAAGAUGGCUGCCUUAGCUCCUGCCAUUAGAUCCAUGUUCAAAGCAAGGAGAAAGAGGAAAGGGGAAGGGUUGCACCAGCUGAGUCCCUCUCUUCCAGGAGCGUUCUUCAAACUCCAGGCAGGCCUCUAAAAUUAUCUCCAGGCUUCUGGUGAGGGUUACAGGGCAACUUCCUUGUCUGUCCAGUGUGAGGGCAGCCAACUGGGUCUCAGGCCUCUAGAAUGUUCCACCUUCCUUGAUCUCUGGCACCCAAAAGAAGUCCAGUCCGGUGUUCAAGAAACCCACUGGUUCCCACCGGCCCCCUCCUGGCAUGGUAUCCUCUCUAGCAUGCCCAGCAGGGCGCUUACCUCUGCGGGCAUCCUCCCCCAACAAACAAUCCCGGUCUAACCAGGAGAAAAACACCUGUUUUUUCCGACAGAGGGACAUGCUAUAGAAUGCCUGACUGUACUGCCCCGAACUGUCAAGGCCAUCCAAAACAUGGAAAGUCUGAGAAACUGUCACAGCCAAGAGAAGAGCCUAAGGGGAAGACUAAAUGCGAUGGGGAGCCCUGCACGGGAUCCUGGGGCCACUGGGUAAAAUGGGGAAGCCUGAAUGAGGCAUGGACUUCAGUUACACUGCAUCGGCCUCGGCUGGCUCAACCGCACCACAGUAAGAGAAGACAUUAACACCAGGGGAAACUAGGUGUGGCGUCUAUGGGAACUCUCUGUACCAUCGCUGCAACUUUUCUGUAAAUCUAAAAGUGCUCUAAAAUAAGAAGUUUAUCUAAACAUAAGUGAAAGGCAGCUGAAAACUCUGAAUGCAGCACACAGAAACAGGUCCAGCACAGCAAGGAGACGGAAACUAUGGAAAAGAGACCCCACGUCGAGGAGAGAAGGAAAAUGCUCUCCCCGCAUCGACCAGGAUUCCCGAAUGGGGGAACUCAGAGGUCUGGGGAGAGUAUGUAUUUGAAAAAACGAUGGCUAAGAACUGUCCAGCCAGACUCGAUUGAAAAUAUAAAUUCUCCGGCCGGGCACGGUGGCUCACGCCUGUAAUCCCAGCACUUUGGGAGGCCGAGGUGGGCGGAUCACGAGGUCAGGAGAUCGAGAACAUCCUGGC